GUUUUUUCACUGCAGUCACACACUGAGAAUACAUACGCUGAGAUUACCUGUGAAGGACCGCUGGCUCAGGCGGCUCUCAGAGAUGAUGAAGUGAUCUACUCCACAGUCUCACCUGGAUAUCUUUAUCAGACUGACUCAUCAUUGGACUCAUCAUUGGACUGAAAUAAUAAUAAUAAUUAGUUACAUAACAAUGCUUGGGUGUGAGUGUGUGUAGUUUGUUGUAUCGUCAAGUUGUUUACCACAGCCUUUAUUUUACUCAUAAAUUGAAAGACACCAUUAUAAAACCAGCGGCGAAUUAGUCUUCCGGGUUCUGACGUCAAA